UACGUAGGGUGCGAGCGUUAAUCGGAAUUACUGGGCGUAAAGGGCGCGUAGGCGGUGAGAUAAGUCAGAUGUGAAAUUCCGGGGCUCAACCCCGGAGCUGCAUUUGAAACUAUUUCGCUAGAGUUCAGUUAGGGUAAACGGAAUUCCACGUGUAGCGGUGAAAUGCGUAGAUAUGUGGAAGAACACCGGUGGUGAAGGCGGUUUACUGGGCUGAUACUGACGCUGAGGCGCGAAAGCGUGGGGAGCAAACAGG
rnacentral:rRNA from 1 species